UACAUGUGUAUGUAUUUCACUAUGUUAUUCAGUUCUCUUCUCUCCUACAUGUGUGUAUGUAUUUCACUAUGUUAUUCAGUUCUCUUCUCUCCUACAUGUGUGUAUGUAUUUCACUAUGUUAUUCAGUUCUCUUCUUUCCUACAUGUGUGUAUGUAUUUCACUAUGUUAUUCAGUUCUCUUCUCUCCUACAUGUGGGUACUGCAUGUAUUUCACUAUAUUUAUUCUCAUACCUAUAUUCAUUCCUCUGACAUAAUUUGUAUUAAUACAUGAAAUUUCUCUACCACUUUCAUUGUGGUUUUAGCGAAUAAAAUGAAUGGAUGUGUGUUACUCUAUCGCAAUAACCAACAAAAGCUCUAAUAAUCGCAGUGUUCUAUUACCAAAACUCCACAACGAGUGACGGCAUUUAAAGUCCAGUCUCGGUCUGUGUCCUUCGCAUUGACUCAAUAAAUGUGAAUGCUGUCAGCAAUAUAUCGGGUCUUUUUUUUUUUUAAAAGUUUGUAUUGUUCCAAGACUAUGUCGAUAGAUGAAACACUUCAAUCGCAUGCAAUCUAUUUAUACCUUGGAACCAUGCCUCUACACGACCCCUGUCGUAUCACCAUAACACCAAUACACAGAUAAUUAAGAUUUGUCUUUAAUCAGAAUUCCUUUAGGUAUAUUCAUCAUAAUCAUAGAAAAAUAUACAAUAUAUACAGGCAAAUUACUAACAAAAAUAUCGUAAAGUAAAAUUUUGAGCGUUCGGUGACGAGUGUAUAUAUAAAACAAUCAAGGCUGUCUUAAUAAAACAACAGAGUACACAGAAUGUGUCUGUUUUUAAAAACAAAGGAAAUUUUAAACUUGUUGAUAUAAAUCAAUAUCGAGUUCUGGUUCUGAGAACGUCACGAGGAAUCACACGGAAUAAUGUUCUCAAAACUGUGUCACCGUUCUCCGCCAAAACCAAAGAGCACUUAUUCCCUCGCCAUCGACUCUGCUUGAGCGGCUGGUGCAAUUUCCUGUAAAUGAUUAAAAAUGCAAAUGCUGCAUUGAAAUGGCGAAAAAAAGAAAAGAAGAACUUACAUCAAUUCCUUUUUGUUCUCGGAUUUUCUCGCGAGCCUUAGCGGCGAAAUAAACACCAGCAAUGGGAAACACGGCAUACAACGCCCCUACCAUCACACAGGAAUCACCGACCGCCUCAGCAUUCUUACCCGCCGUAUAGCAAGGUACAAAAUAGGUAAUUAAACACAGCGUACAGUUGUUAAAACAACCAAACAGGCCAUUGGAAAAUUCUACCAUCCUUCUCAAGCUGGGUAAGAGACGGACACAAAAUAAGACACCUGUUUGCCACUAGAAGGAGUGAAUGUCGCAGUGAGAGAACGCUGGGUAUUAGUGGUUACGGCGGAUCUA